GACAGAGGGUGCAAACGUUGUUCGGAAUUACUGGGCGUAAAGCGCGUGUAGGCGGCCCUGCAAGUCGGAUGUGAAAUCCCACGGCUCAACCGUGGAAGUGCAUUCGAAACUGCAGGGCUAGAGUCCUGGAGAGGAAGGUGGAAUUCCUGGUGUAGCGGUGAAAUGCGCAGAUAUCAGGAGGAACACCGGUGGCGAAGGCGGGUCUCUGGGCCGAUACUGACGCUGAGGAGCGAAAGCGUGGGGAGCAAACAGG
rnacentral:rRNA from 1 species